AUGGCAAUGCAGCCAACAAAGAAGAAACGCGUGGCCAGCUUGCCGCAAGAUAUCAUCGAACUGGUACUUGUGAGGCUUCCGGUGAGCAAUCUGCUGCGGUGCCGUGUUGUCUGCAAGCAGUGGGAUGGCAUCAUCCGGGAUCCGCAGUUCACCAUGGCACACCUCAGGCACGCGCAGCCUCGCCCCCUUUUAUUUUUCCAACGAGGCGAGACUUAUGGCAAGUCCUUCCCUAGCGAAGCGGUCCUCUUUGAUGAGGCCUGGUUGCCGUCGACACGGGGUGUGCCGGUGAUUGAGCCUGAUGAUUUCAUGUGUGCUUCGUGCAAUGGUCUUGUUUGCUUGUACUCGGAUAAAUCAACCAUCAAGAUAGCCAACCUCGCCACCGGUGAAAGUAUGCACCUCGCCAAACCCGUCAAGUACAAGCACUCCAUGGAUGAUCACUCUUCGUUCUACAGCUUUGGUUUCAGCCCAGCUACAAAUGAAUACAAGGUCUUGCACUUUCUUCCGGGCGAGGAGCGCCACCAUGUUGGUGGUUCCUUCAGUGUCAUUCAAGUUUACACACUGGGCGAUGAGAAGUGGAGGGACGUCAGAACUGAACAAGCUCUGAGCUUGUUCUGUGUGAAACAAACUGGGGUCGUCAACGCUGAUGGAGCAAUGUACUGGCUAACCAAAGACGAAGAAAGCAGCUGGCGACGGGCCGUUGUAUCCUUUGAUCUCAGAGAUGAACGUCAAAAAUUAAUACGGUUGCCCGAGGUUAUUUUUGCGGAUCCUGCAUUUGGUAAUCCGUUAUAUCGGAUCACGGAGAUAGAUUCCAAGGUGUCCGUGGCUGCUGUUCAAGCCAGAAGAGAUUCUGGGCUUGCAGGGAGGCUGCAUGUUUGGACACUUGACAACAAGGUGAAGCAAAGCUGGAUCCUGAAGCAUAGUAUUGAGUUAUCAGCACUUUACAUUCUAAGACCGCAUUUCAUCUACGGGGAUAAGAUUGCCAUGCAUAGUGGUAACGAUGGCAUAUACUGCCAUGAAUUGACUAGCCAGAAAUUUACGAUUGACGUAACCAAGUUGGCGAAGCUGUUAGAUUUCAGCCCCCGCUGGAUCGGGCAUAUGCAAUCCUAUAUGUAUGUGAAGUCACUUGUGCGGUUGGAUGCAUACAAGAAGGCCGGCAUCGUGUGCACGCCAAGGCGAAAAGAGGGUUGGAGAUUGAAGAAGUGGGAGGCGUGGGAACACGAACGCUCUGAGGUAGAGGAGCUGUGGAGAGCCGGCCAUGGGAUUCAGCAAAGGAUGCAUGAACUGGCACGUAUGAUGGGCGUAGCCAUCAGUCUGAACUUGCCUGCCCCGCCAGAUCAGCAGGAUAGCCCCCUCCGACGGCUUAAUUGGGUGGAGCAGAGGCGGGUGGCGAACAUGCUGAAAUCUCAUCUUGAGGGUUUGGAUGCUCCAUGGGCGGUCAUAGCGCAGGCAGCGGACGCGGCCUGUGGUGAGAAAAAGAAGAUGACCCUAGCGGCAGACCACGCAAAGCAGAGAAAAGGAGAGGAGAGCGAGGCCGGCCCAUCAAGGCCCAAGCGAAAGAGGAAGCCGAGCUCCAGAUUCGAUUCGUCGACGUGGACAACCUGA
rnacentral:rRNA from 1 species